GCUGUGGAUAGCCCCCGUGACUGCACUGGUGGGCUCAUCCCUGGGGAAUCUGCUGCUUUGGUUUUGUCCCUGACUGUCCUGGGAUAUGCAGCAUCUAUGUGCAGGCACUGCCAGCAGCACAGGGGAGGAAGAGGAGGAAAAAGAUGCUGAGGAAUGGCCACGACAGCAAGGGCUGCCCCAGGCACGAUGCUCUUCAAGGUUUCUCAAGAGGCCGCAGCCACUCUUUCAAGGCACAGGCACCCCAGAACCAGGGGGGCACGGAGCUGCUCCCAGCACAGCUCACACACUGGGGCUGCUCAGUGUGACUGCAUCCACACUCUGGUGUCUUCAUUUGCACAGCUUUAUUCCCAUGAGGCCAGUAUCCCAUCCAGGACAGCUUGGACAAGCUGCAGAGCCCUGCUCAGCUGUGGUGACUCACUUGAGUUCACAAUGGGAAAGCCAUUGCUCCUGCCAAGCCCUGCCAGCCCAGAGGCAAAUCAUUACCAGGCAGAGGGAGCUCUCAUGAUCUCUCCAUGGCUCUAAUUAAAAUGGCCUGGAUGUCCAUGACAUUGGUGCCUGUCAAGC